UGAGGAGUAGUGUAACGGUAGCACGACAGACUCUGGAUCUGUCUGUCUAGGUUCGAAUCCUAGCUCCUCAG
rnacentral:tRNA from 1 species